ACGUCAACGCUUACUGCUGCUUGGUUGUGCCGGUGCAGAGUGAAGAGUUGGUGGUGUGUGGAGAUUCCAAGGGAAACGUGGUUCAAGCAGCCACCAAACAUCAACUCCUGGAGCAGCAAGAAACCUGUAAGAGCUCUCCUUUUUCCUCUGAUGAAACUGAAGAUUGAUUUUCCCUAGGCACACAGUGACAGGAUCAGUGUACUGUGACUCAACAACAGCACAAUGAUCUCAGCAUCCCAUGACAAAACUGUGGGACAGAAACACCAAGAAACAGGUGUGUGUGUGGGUCCUGUUAUGGUCUUGGAUUUGAACCCACACUGCUCCAGUGAACUGGUGUGUGGCGAUGCACUGGGCGAGCUCUACUUCCUCUCCUGGAGAGAAUAACCACCCAGUGUACACACAGUCCAUUGUAUACACACACUGCUCCAUAUACAUCCAAUCAUAAUUAACUAACUCUCACACGGAUAUGUCAGUACUACUGUAAUCGUAUGCAUAUUCUCUCAGGCAGCUCCAUCAAUGUUAUCUUCUACACACUAUCUAAUAUGCAUACUCUUUAUAUCUAAUACUUCUACUUAUAUAUGUACGUGCCUUAAAAACCCUAAGUGAAGAACCUCAAUGUAAAUCAGCUAUAAUGCAUAUUAUUUUAAGUUUACAUGAAACUAGAUUAUUGUCCUUGAUCCCCAGCUGUGUCAAACAAGUUAUAUCCCUUUAAUAAAUACUAUACCACA